rnacentral:lncRNA from 1 species
CUACGUACCCUCCUUGAGGGAUCAAGCCACACGUAGUUCUUCCCUAAAACCCAAUUCCACACUUAAGCGAUACCUUAUUUCAUUUCUCUGUAUUUCACAUAAUCUCCUCAUACGCCGGUACAACCAACGCCACGUAUGGGGCCUGUCAACACGCCGGAUAACCUACGCCACGUGCGACCAUGCCAUACUAUCAUAAUAUCUCCCCAUACGCCGGUACAACCAACGCCACGUAUGGGGUCUGUCUCAACGCCAGAUAACCUACGCCACGCGAGACCUGCACAUCAUAUCACAUAUCUCCCCAUACGCCGGUACAACCAACGCC